CGUAAUUUACACUAAUUUCGCUCUAACCACGAGACAUAAUAAUUUGAAUAUAUUAUAUUGCACGGAAAAACCUAGAGCGAAUUAAAUUAUGUGUCAGCUUCGUGUGUAUACAUAUAGUCUUUCCUAUGCAUUAGGUUUUUCGCAUAAUGCAUUACCAGUUGACAGCCUAUCUUAUGAUGUGUACUCUGUUUACAUUACAGUUGUUUAUUAGUUUACUCGUUUGUUUUGCGACUUAUGAAAUGCCGGCAUAUAUAUAUUUUCAACAUUUGACAUAAGCCUGUAUGUUUUGUAGGGACAACCCAGGACGUGCAUUUCUCAGCACCCAGUCAACUGCCAGAAGUGACUCAAACACAGGCCACCAGUGGAACUCGGCUGUACCACUGCAGUGCUGCGGAAAUUGCCAGCACCAGCGGCUUUGCAACAGCUGUUUCGCAGCAUGUCGGAGACAAUGCCUACGAAAUUAUUGGCCCUGAUGACGAGAGCCCUCAAGGGGCAAACGACAUCUCUGUUGCAGAAGUGAGCCCGAUACCACUUGAAGUUACCAUGACA
rnacentral:lncRNA from 1 species